GAUGAAGAACGUAGCGAAAUGCGAUAAGUAAUGUGAAUUGCAGAAUUCAGUGAAUCAUCGAAUCUUUGAACGCACAUUGCGCCCCUUGGUAUUCCGAGGGGCAUGCCUGUUCGAGCGUCAUUAUAACCCCUCAAGCUCAGCUUAGUGUUGGGGCCUGCUGCACUGGCAGCCCUUAAAAUCAGUGGCGGCGCCAUCUGGCUCUAAGCGUAGUAAUUCUUCUCGCUAUGGAGUCCUGGUGGAUGCUUGCCAUCAACCCCCAAUUUUUCUAUGGUUGACCUCGGAUCAGGUAGGGAUACCCGCUGAACUUAAGCAUAUCAAUAAGCGGAGGA
rnacentral:misc_RNA from 1 species